AAAAAGGAUACUAGUUGGGCUGGAGAUGUAGCUCAGUGGUAAUGCUAACCCUAACCUGUAUGAGGCUGUGGGUUGUACACCCAGCACCAUGGGGAAAAUUACUAUAGUCCAUUUUAUACUAUGGUCAAAAAAAUUAAAACAGUCAAUUUACUAUAGUUGAACAAUUUGUUUUAAUUUUUUUUUGGGGGGGGCGGGUACUGGGCAUUGAACCCAAGGGUGCUUUAUCAGUGAGCUACCUCCCCAGUCCUUUUUAUUUUAUUUUUUUUAGUUUGAGGCAGAGUCUACCUAAGUUGCUUAGAGCCUCGCUAAAUUGCUGAGGUUGGCCGUGAACUUGGGAUUCUCCUGUCUCAGCCUCCCCAGACCAUUGCUGGGAUGACGGAAGUGUGCCACCACGCCCGGCCCUUUUAACAUUUUAACCUGAAAUAAUCAUUAGAUUCACAGUUAUUUGCAAAUACAGAAAGACCUCUUUGACUCCCCCCAAAUCCACAACUCCUGUGUGACUAUGUGAAAAGUAUUGGUCACACCUACACUUAAGGACAAUCUAUAAAAUAUCUGACCGCUUCGGCCCGGUGGGGCAUGCCUGUAAUCCCAGCGACUAGGGAGGAUAAGACAGAAGGAUCUCGAGUUCAAAGCCAGCCUCAGCAAAAGCCAGGCGCUAACCAACUCAGUAAGACCCUGUCUCUAAAUAAAAUAGUAGAACUGGGGAUGUGGCUUAGUGGUUGAGUGCCCCUGAGUUCAACCUCCCCCCCCCCAAAAAAAAAAAAAAAGGAAAUCACAAUGCCCUUGCACAGAUUAAGGAUCAUUCAUAAAAUGUACAAUAACUUCCAGCAUAUAUUAGGUGUUCAGUAAAAGUUAUGAAAAAUUAAUUGCCUUCUCACAUUCCUACAGACUUCCUUUAGAAAAUAUUUAUGGGUUAUCUCAACUGCAUUUUAAAUUGUUAAUUCAUAUGCAAAAUUGCAUAAUCUAUAUAAAUUUCAUUUUGGAAUCACAAAUAUUCCUUUUUUUUUUUUUCUUAUAUUUAUUUUUUAGUUCUCGGCGGACACAACAUCUUUGUUUGUAUGUGGUGCUGAGGAUCGAACCCGGGCCACACGCAUGCCAGGCGAGCGCGCUACCGCUUGAGCCACAUCCCCAGCCCUUUUUUUUCUUUUUUUAAUGUUGGGAGGCAAUACAAUGAAGUCAGAAAAAUCUCAAGGAUUAAAGUCUGAGUGAACAUUUGAUUUUUAGUCAGUAUAGCAGCAUUGAUCACCCCUAUUAGCCUGGGCAAGUCACUGACACAUUCUGACAAUGUUUCACCAAGUAUAAAAUGAAGAUGAUAAAAUUUCUUAUCCUGCUUGCUUAAGAUUGUUGUAAGUUACAAAACUUUAAAAACUGAAAUACAAAGAAGUAAAAUGGCUUAUCCAAGGUCUCACUACUUAUAGGGUAAGGCUAGCAGAAAACUAACUUUUGAACUAUGGAAGUUGAACUCCAGAACCCAUGCUCUAACCUAAGCUGCUUCUUCAAAACUUGUGUCUUGAGGUCUAGGACUACAAAUCAUCAAAUCCAAAUGUAACUAGGCUGAAACCGUUUCUUAAUCAUCAGGACAUAAGUAGGAAAACUGCCAUUUCAAAGUUCUUAAGAUCUCUGUUGGCCAAACUGUCCUUUAAUCUGAAAAAUCAAGCCUCCAAUGCAAAUCAAGCCCCCAUCUUACUGACAGGAAAAACAACUUCUAGAAAACUGAACGCUAAAUUUAAACUGUGCUUUAAUGUUGUGCUAUAUUGAGUAGAACUGAGCAAGAGUUUUAUCUGUUGGCCUGUGUUACUGUUUCUUUUUGAGAAAAGUAUUUCUUUUCUAUGAAUUUAGACUGCUUUUGCCUUUAAGCUCUAAUUCUCCAAAGCUUUUUACCCAGAAGACUUUCUGAAAUAAAACACCUCCAUGAUCAAAGAAAUUUGGGAAGCAAUUCCCUGUGUAUUUCUCCUCUGGGGAGAUUUAUAACAUACAUUAACAUAUCAAAAGCACUGAGCUAUUUUGUGAUAAGGAAUCCUAUUUAACCUCCUUUAACCAAUAUUUCACAAACUCAUGAUCAGAGAAUACAGCAAAACAAGAGUUUGAAGCAGCCCUUUUUAGCACAACUUAUUGUUUUUGUGAACAUAUGUUUUUGUUUGAGGACUUACUGAGAUCUCAAAGACUACAAUUAAGAGGUUCCAGACCCUUGUCCACUUUCCCUGAAGUGAUUAUAAAAAUACAGCUGGACAAGACCAGUUUGAAAUCAACAUCAACUGUGAUAAGGAAUCUGUGUUUCUGUAUGUGGUAUUGAAAGCAAA
rnacentral:lncRNA from 1 species